UACGAAGGUUGCAAGCGUUAAUCGGAAUUACUGGGCGUAAAGGGUGCGUAGGCGGUUCGUUAAGUCUGUUGUGAAAUCCCCGGGCUCAACCUGGGAAUGGCGAUGGAUACUGGCGAGCUAGAGUGUGUCAGAGGAUGGUGGAAUUCCCGGUGUAGCGGUGAAAUGCGUAGAGAUCGGGAGGAACAUCAGUGGCGAAGGCGGCCAUCUGGGACAACGCUGACGCUGAAGCACGAAAGCGUGGGGAGCAAACAGG
rnacentral:rRNA from 1 species